GAGAACGCUGGCGGCGUGCCUAACACAUGCAAGUCGAACGAAGCAUAGCAAUAUGCUUAGUGGCGGACGGGUGAGUAACGCGUGAACAAUCUGCCCUGUACAAAGGAAUAGCCUCGGGAAACCGGGAUUAAAACCGUAUGACACUUUAGUAUCGCAUGAUAAGAAAGUCAAAUCGAAUAGAGGUAUGGGAUGAGUUCGCGUCUGAUUAGCUGGUUGGCGGGGUAACGGCCCACCAAGGCGACGAUCAGUAGCCGGCCUGAGAGGGUGAACGGCCACACUGGAACUGAGACACGGUCCAGACUCCUACGGGAGGCAGCAGUGGGGAAUAUUGCACAAUGGAGGGAACUCUGAUGCAGCGACGCCGCGUGAGUGAAGAAGGUCUUCGGAUCGUAAAACUCUGUCCUUGGUGAAGAAAAGGACGGUAGCCAAGGAGGAAGCCCCGGCUAACUACGUG
rnacentral:rRNA from 1 species